rnacentral:rRNA from 1 species
GAUGAACGCUGGCGGCGUGCUUAACACAUGCAAGUCGAACGAUGAAGCCCAGCUUGCUGGGUGGAUUAGUGGCGAACGGGUGAGUAACACGUGAGUAACCUGCCCUUAACUCUGGGAUAAGCCUGGGAAACUGGGUCUAAUACCGGAUAGGAGCGUCCACCGCAUGGUGGGUGUUGGAAAGAUUUAUCGGUUUUGGAUGGACUCGCGGCCUAUCAGCUUGUUGGUGAGGUAAUGGCUCACCAAGGCGACGACGGGUAGCCGGCCUGAGAGGGUGACCGGCCACACUGGGACUGAGACACGGCCCAGACUCCUACGGGAGGCAGCAGUGGGGAAUAUUGCACAAUGGGCGCAAGCCUGAUGCAGCGACGCCGCGUGAGGGAUGACGGCCUUCGGGUUGUAAACCUCUUUCAGUAGGGAAGAAGCGAAAGUGACGGACC